rnacentral:snRNA from 1 species
AUCGCUUCUCGGCCUUUUGGCUAAGAUCAAGUGUAGUAUCUGUUCUUAUCAGUUUAAAAUGUAAAAGCCUUUCUUAGCUCCUGGACUGUACUAAACAGACAGUGGGCUAGAUUUGGUGGGGGAGAUGGAGUUUGCUGAGCCCCACUUUAGGUCAGACGUUCAGACCAGAAGUUGGCAAACAUUUUCUGGAAAGGUCUGGAUAGUAA